UGAUACAAACUCUCCAGUAUAAUUGACCCAUACCUGUCAAACCUCAACUCUCCUUGCAUAUUUAUCCCCAAGGCCUCACAAAAAACACAAAUAACUUUAAAAUUCUCAAAGUUUUUACAGAUACAAACACAUUAAAAGUUCACUAACAUUACUAUGUACAAUCUUUUUUUUAAAAAAAAUCUAGAAUCUCUUUGAAAAGUUGAAAAUAUGUCAACUGUGGAAUUAUUUUAUUAAUAAUUAUUAAUACUGUAAGAAUUAAUUAGUCUGAAUACAUUCUUAUUUGAUUGGGAGGAACCAAGGCACACUAAAAAACGACAAAUAAUCUACCAAUGGUGUACGUAACGCACUGUUCAAUAUCUAGAAUCUAAUUUAAAUUUUCUCAACUCCUCUCUACACCUGGGUCUCUUUUCUCUAUCUGUUCUCUGCAGUACACACAGCUGCAGUGUGUCUUCUGUGCAUGGGCAGGCUGCACUGCACUGUUCCUGCUGUUUUUCUUGGUUGUCCCAUGGUAAUGGGAUCCAGCCGCUCUCUGCAAAUUGAUUGGUAUCAAGAGUUGGGUAUGAAUGUGACAGGCUUAAGCAUGGGGUAUGUUCACAGACUAUAGACUUUGGAUUAGCAAAAUAAGUGAAUGCUUUAAGAGUCACUUAUUAGGCUGCUUUAGCAGGAGUGUGGAAGAUAGUGGUGCCAAGAGCAAUGUGGAUUAUGACUGACUAGUUCCAGAGUUUUCAGAGGAUAAGAAUAUAAUUAAAUGAGCUAGAGACUGUUCUUGUGAUGUUUUGGCAAACAAUGAUUCUACCUUUUCUUAAAAUCUACCUGAGGCUAAAUUUAAUACUUUUGGAUUAAUGCUGUUUUCUUUGAAGUUUCAAUAGACCAUUCAAACCCAGAGACUCCCUUCUCAUGCUGCUUACAGUUUCAGAAUUUGAAUUCUCAGCUACUUGUCCAUCACUAUAUCUCCCUGCAUGCCAUCAUGCUUCUCUUCAUGAUGAAAUAGUGGUACACCUCUGAAACUACACACAAAUCUUAAUUAGAUAUUUUCUCUUUUUAGGGUGUUUUUAUGAUAGGUCUUCACAUCAUUAGAAUAUUGGCUGAGAUAUAUGAUAAGAGGAGAGUUGAUAUGAAUUUGUUUAAAAUUCAUUGUAAUUUUAUUUUACUUAAUAUAGAAUUUUUGCAUUUAAACAAUUUUAUAGAAAUUUAAAAGAAACACCAAUGCUACAAAUAUUAGGCCGUAUAUAUUGAAUCAAUAUUUGAAUGGGGUGUGUUUGUGUGUGUAUGUGUGCUAUGUGUGUUUGCAUAAUAUGUCAUGAAACUAAAGACUUUGGGAGAAGAGAAGAUAUAAAUAAUAUGGAUAAACAAGAAUGUAAUAUUAUAAUUCAACAUAAAAGUAGAGAGGGAUAAGGGAAAGUAGUGUGUACAGGGAUGAAGGAGAAUUAAAUAAAAUUAACAAUAAAAUAAUAUCUUUACACCCAAAGCAGACAUCUUAAAGACGAGUUGAGUGUGUCAUCCCACCAUUAAACCUGGCAGAUUAAGUAGAAUCAGAUGAAUAGCCAUACUAACAAGAAUUUGAGACCAGCUUGCAUGUCUCUACCUCAAUAUUUAAGGUAGAGAGCAAAUGAGAAAUGUAGAAGCCCCCUGUACUGGCGGGUUUUAUGUGUCCACUUGACACAGGCUGGAGUUGUCACAG
rnacentral:lncRNA from 1 species